GUGCAUGUGCAUGUGCAUGUGCAUGUGCAUGUGCAUGUGCAUGUGCAUGUGCAUGUGCAUGUGCAUGUGCAUGUGCAUGUGCAUGUGCAUGUGCAUGUGCAUGUGCAUGUGCAUGUGCAUGUGCAUGUGCAUGUGCAUGUGCAUGUGCAU
rnacentral:sRNA from 1 species